rnacentral:rRNA from 1 species
AAAUUGAAGAGUUUGAUCAUGGCUCAGAUUGAACGCUGGCGGCAGGCCUAACACAUGCAAGUCGAGCGGAAACGGCAGCAUUGAAGCUUCGGUGGAUUUGCUGGACGUCGAGCGGCGGACGGGUGAGUAACGGCUGGGAACCUGCCCUGACGCGGGGGAUAACCGUUGGAAACGACGGCUAAUACCGCAUAAUGUCUUAGUUCAUUACGAGCUGGGACCAAAGGUGGCCUCUACAUGUAAGCUAUCGCGUUGGGAUGGGCCCAGUUAGGAUUAGCUAGUUGGUAAGGUAAUGGCUUACCAAGGCAACGAUCCUUAGCUGGUUUGAGAGGAUGAUCAGCCACACUGGGACUGAGACACGGCCCAGACUCCUACGGGAGGCAGCAGUGGGGAAUAUUGCACAAUGGGGGAGACCCUGAUGCAGCCAUGCCGCGUGUGUGAAGAAGGCCUUCGGGUUGUAAAGCACUUUCAGCAGUGAGGAAGGUGGUGUACUUAAUAAGUGCAUGGCUUGACGUUAGCUGCAGAAGAAGCACCGGCUAACUCCGUGCCAGCAGCCGCGGUAAUACGGAGGGUGCGAGCGUUAAUCGGAAUUACUGGGCGUAAAGCGCAUGCAGGCGGUUUGUUAAGUCAGAUGUGAAAGCCCGGGGCUCAACCUCGGAACCGCAUUUGAAACUGGCAGGCUAGAGUCUUGUAGAGGGGGGUAGAAUUUCAGGUGUAGCGGUGAAAUGCGUAGAGAUCUGAAGGAAUACCAGUGGCGAAGGCGGCCCCCUGGACAAAGACUGACGCUCAGAUGCGAAAGCGUGGGUAGCAAACAGGAUUAGAUACCCUGGUAGUCCACGCCGUAAACGCUGUCUACUUGGAGGUUGAGGUUUAGACUUUGGCUUUCGGCGCUAACGCAUUAAGUAGACCGCCUGGGGAGUACGGCCGCAAGGUUAAAACUCAAAUGAAUUGACGGGGGCCCGCACAAGCGGUGGAGCAUGUGGUUUAAUUCGAUGCAACGCGAAGAACCUUACCUACUCUUGACAUCCAGCGAAUCCUUUAGAGAUAGAGGCGUGCCUUCGGGAGCGCUGAGACAGGUGCUGCAUGGCUGUCGUCAGCUCGUGUUGUGAAAUGUUGGGUUAAGUCCCGCAACGAGCGCAACCCUUAUCCUUGUUUGCCAGCACAUAAUGGUGGGAACUCCAGGGAGACUGCCGGUGAUAAACCGGAGGAAGGUGGGGACGACGUCAAGUCAUCAUGGCCCUUACGAGUAGGGCUACACACGUGCUACAAUGGCAGAUACAGAGGGCAGCGAAGCUGCGAAGUGGAGCGAAUCCCUUAAAGUCUGUCGUAGUCCGGAUUGGAGUCUGCAACUCGACUCCAUGAAGUCGGAAUCGCUAGUAAUCGUGGAUCAGAAUGCCACGGUGAAUACGUUCCCGGGCCUUGUACACACCGCCCGUCACACCAUGGGAGUGGGCUGCACCAGAAGUAGAUAGCUUAACCUUCGGGAGGGCGUUUACCACGGUGUGGUUCAUGACUGGGGUGAAGUCGUAACAAGGUAGCCCUAGGGGAACCUGGGGCUGGAUCACCUCCUUAC